rnacentral:lncRNA from 1 species
CGAGGAAGCGGACGACGUCGUAUUAUUCGACCCCAGAAAGGUGUGGAUCCGCCUCAGAGCUCUCAUCAAUGGUUGUUUUUGUACCAACAUUUAUGUAUACCUAAUUAUUUGUGUCUACUUCAUCUAAUUCAAACCUAUACACACAAAAAAAAACUCCCAAAUCCGUCUGCUAGGGUUACAACUAAAAAUCAAUUUCGAUGAUGAAAAGUCAUGAUUGAUUUGAUUUGAUUGGUGUUCGUCUUUACCUACGGGAGGAGUAGACGAGGGUGGCGGCGAGCGCGAGACUGGCCAUGGCCGUGACAACGAUGGCUAUUCCGACAUUGAAAGAGGAGGGAAUGAGGGCGUUUCCCCCU